rnacentral:lncRNA from 1 species
AGAUCCGAUCUAGAAUCUGAUGGACCAAAAUCCACCGGCACAGCCCACAGCCGUCAGCAUGGCCUAAAACCCAUCGAUGGGGGUUCUCUUUAAAUAUUAUUAAUUAUAAAAUUAUAAUAAAUAUUAUUAUAAAUAUUAUAAAUGAUUAUAAAUAUUAUUAUAAAAUAAAUUUUUUAAAAAAAAUUCAUACCUAUGCUGC